CUCGGGGGGCCUGAGGUCCUGGGGGGAGCCCUGCAGUACUGGGGGGCAUUGAGGUCGGGGUCAGUGGGGAAACAACUGGGCCAAAGGGUGCCCGAAAGGGGACCCACGAGUGUCGCAGCGCCCAGGGCUCCGGCCUCUUCCGGGAAAUCCUCCCGCUCCCCAGGCCUUCCUACUUGCCAAAGAGUUCCAGGCCCACAAGAGGACUGGCUAUGAGGAAGAGACCUGGAAUCUGAAGGAAUGUGUUGGGCGUUGUGCAAACCCUAACGUAAAUUUCCUGACAAAGGUAGAAAGCCCUGGCAUGGUUCAGAGGUGGGGCCUCCUCCUAUGUCGACGGGAUUCUAGAUUCACACCAUGGCAGAAAAUCUAUUUCAGGAACUUCAGGAACAUUUUCAAGCUCUGACGGCAACAUUAAACCUCAGAAUGGAAGAAAUGGGAAAUCGCAUUGAGGACUUACAGAAGAAUGUCAAGGACUUAAUGGUGCAAGCUGGCAUUGAAAAUUCUAUUAAAGAACAAAUGCUGAAGACCUAACUGCAGCAUGUCUGUAUUUGGAGAUGGGGCCUCUACAGAAGUCAUUAAGGUUACAUCGGUCCUGAGGGUGGGGCCCUCAUCCAACAGGAUUCGUCUUUCUGAGAAGAGACGCAAGGGGCUCGCCUGCUCUCCCCUCCGUGCCUGCACCAGAGAAGGAGGCCAUCGGCAAGCCAAGGAGAGCCCUCCCCAGAAAUCACACGGACCAGCACCUUGAUCUGGGACUUCCAGAAAACAGAACUGUGAAAAGACAAGUUUCUGUUGUUUAAACCACCCAAUCUGAAGUAUUUUGUUAUGGCAGUCCUGGGCAGACUAAUACAAUAUGCAACACAUUUACAAUAAAUAUACAAUAAACUU
rnacentral:lncRNA from 10 species